rnacentral:lncRNA from 1 species
UCACAUAAAACCAUUCUGCCUUAGGCUGUAUGGUUAUCCUAGUCCUACUCACCAUCAACCUAGACCCAAACAACACAUCCCUGUUAUCAGAAAACAGUGGGUUCUGUAGAGGGGUAUUCGUUACCUUUAGAUUUAUUGACUAAAUCAAAAGUAAAUCAUACAAUUCGAGUCGCCACCGCACUUCUAUUUAUCCAAAGGAAAGGUUAGAAAGUGAACAAAAACUGAGAAGUUUUAUCGAAUAAAA